AUUAUGUUCCGAUAUACCAGUAUAUCUUGGAACACAGCGAGAGUAACAUUGAUAUACUUACAAUCAUGCUGUUCUACGAAUUUAUUCAUUUUACGUAUAAUUACGAAAAUUUAAUAAAUUAUUUGAGUGAUAAAACAGUGCUUCGAAAUUAAAUUUCGUGUCCACUAUGUAACAAAGUGAUUGAAUUGAAACCAGAAAAAUCACUUAUAAUGCAUUGCAGUAAUAUGUAUUAUAAACAAAUACGUGGACAAAAGAAACUUUGCAGUGUUCCUUGUGAGUCGAAAUGUGCGCGCGUGUGUGUAUGGCAAUGUGUAUACAUACAUACGAAACAGUACAUGCACACAUUUGUACGAGUUAUACAGUAUUAGUUGUAUAUAUUAGGACGUCUAGUGAAUCAAGGCCAACAGUUUAAUAUAUUAUGGAUAUCUGUGAUGUCACUCCUCAAGAGAAAGGACAAACCUACUCUAGAUUUCGUAAUGUUAGAUUACAUUAUAUUAGUUGAUGUCUAAAUAGAUGAUGUUAAGUUAAGUAAGAAUAAAGGUUUGGAGGAGGAGGUGAUAGGAAGAGAAAAAGAAUCAAAUUAACUAAAAGAGGAAGGACCAUGAUUUUGAUUGGGAUCAUGCCAAAGUUUUAUAUGAGGAACGCUUUUACCUAAAACGCCUGAUCUCAGAAAUGAUUUUCAUCAAAUUUCAGAAGCAUGGUCUUAACUCACAAAAGGAUACUGAAUAUUUGGGCACCAGCUACUGCGGCUUGUUAUAAAAAUACACUUUGUUAUGGUUACCUUCUCUUCCACAAGUCGUUUCCGCAAUGUUAAUGCUAGGUAUAUAAAUCUGUAAUUAUUUGUAUUUCAUAGACGUGGCGAUGUUAUCGUUGACAGGAUC